UACGGAGGGGGCUAGCGUUGUUCGGAAUACUGGGCGUAAAGCGCACGUAGGCGGAUGUGACCAGUCAGGGGUGAAAGUCCCGGAGCUCAACUUCGGAACUGCCUACUGAUAGCAGCACGUCUUUGAGUCCGGAAGAGGUGGGUGGAAUUCCUAGUGUAGAGGUGAAAUCGUAGAUAUUGGGUGGAACACCGGUGGCGAAAGCGGCUCUCUGGUCCGGUACCGUGACGCUGAGGCGCGAAAGCGUGGGGAGCAAACAGG
rnacentral:rRNA from 1 species